AGCAGGCGCGAAAACUUUACAAUGCCGGCAACGGCGAUAAGGGAACCUCGAGUGCCAGGUUACAAAUCUGGCUGUCGUGAUGCCUAAAAAGCAUUGCAUAACAAGGGCCGGGCAAGACCGGUGCCAGCCGCCGCGGUAACACCGGCGGCUCGAGUGGUAACCGUUAUUAUUGGGUCUAAAGGGUCUGUAGCCGGCCGGGUAAGUCUCUUGGGAAAUCUGGCAGCUUAACUGUCAGGCUUUCAGGAGAUACUGCCUGGCUCGAGGCCGGGAGAGGUGAGAGGUACUUCAGGGGUAGGGGUGAAAUCUUGUAAUCCUUGAAGGACCACCAGUGGCGAAGGCGUCUCACCAGAACGGACCUGACGGCAAGGGACGAAAGCUAGGGGCACGAACCGGAUUAGAUACCCGGGUAGUCCUAGCCGUAAACGAUACUCGCUAGGUGUCGGCCACGGUGCGACCGUGGUCGGUGCCGUAGGGAAGCCGUGAAGCGAGCCGCCUGGGAAGUACGGCCGCAAGGCUGAAACUUAAAGGAAUUGGCGGGGGAGCAC
rnacentral:rRNA from 1 species